GGCUGUGUGGGCAGAGAAACAACAAUUACAACACUUGAGUACAAAAAUAUACUUGCAAAUAUCAAUUUUGUGCCAUUUUAUACUUUUACUCACUAAAUCUUAGAGGGAAAUAUUGUACAUUUUUACCUGACAGCUACAAUUACACUUUGGAUUAACGUUUCACAUUUAAAACAUCUGUCAUUAUCUUGCAAAAUAAAAUGCCUUGUUAAAUAUUGUACUCGUGGUUUCCAAACUUUUGGAGCAGCUUGUGGCUCUUUACAAAAACAAGAAGUCUCUACUUUGGGUGACAGAUCUCAAUGAGUUGUUUUUCACUUCCAGCAAAGAGACAGCCCAAGACACACAGAGGUAAAACUGGCCAAUAUUUCACAAAGCAAGCAAAAACUUGGGAGAAAUCCAAAACAAAUAACACAAAUAUACAAAGCAGAACUUUGUUUUUUCUUCUUUGGCACGACAGUAAUCAUGUCAUGGCCCCUCACAUUUAUACUGCAACCUUUUAGAAUAGCCUGACCCACCAAUUGGACACCAGUGGACUAAACUAAAUAUAAAGUUAAAUAAACUAGCUCCACCAUGAACAUUGCCAACAGUAAAAUGCUAAAUAUCAUUAGCACUAGUAAGAUUAACCAUCUAAAAAUGUCAUAUAUUAUAAAAACCACUUCAUCCCCCAGACUUACAUGCUUGACAUUUUCAGAUAUUUGAACUAAAGUAGGAUUGUUAAUGCAAAACUUUUAAUGUAGUUUUACAUACUGAAGUGGACGAUCUGAAUACUUAAGAAUACCACAGAAAAUAAACGAUGGUUUUGUGUGUUUGCUUGACCAGAAACAGAACUGAAUCAGUGCUCUCUGUCAUUUUUCUGCUGCCUACUUUCGAGCACCAGAAUCUCAACUAUGUGAGCAGAUACGCUGUCGCAGUACAGCAGCCGUGUGAGCCAAAGAAAACAGGACACUAAAGUCCCAGGAACUGAUUCAGACUAGACAGAAAACUGAAUUAUUAAAGCCCGCAAGAAAAAAUGUCUUCUGUUGAGAUUUGCUUGGUUCCAGAUGUAUUUUGGCUCGUCAGCCUUUAGUGGGCUCCAUCCUGAUUCACUGACGGGUCAGAUAUCUACCAUCGCCAGGACUGAACUCCUCGACUAUCCACCACCGACAGAUCCUGUCACUUAAAAAAACAAAACAAAAACACAAGCAGACAGUUGACAUACGUGUUAAUAUUUCCAUCUGAUGUAAUAUCCUUUGACGAGGGAACAAUAGUGUCACUUUCUAACCCACAACAUAAGUCUUAGUUCAUCCAACAGAUGCCAGAGGCUUGACAAAAUGUGUUCCCCACCCAUCAUUCCUGCGAUCUAAACCAGUGUCAGAGGUCAACAGACAAGGACAGCGUGUUCCUCGUAAGUGUUUUACACUCAGGCCUGUGGUUACGACAACGUGGGGCCCUCUCUGCCUGAUAGGGAUGUUUACAUUUAUGGUAUCAGAGCCUGAGGAGGCUCUUUUCCGGUUUCCAGGAAACCUUUUCUUCUCUUUUUUCCCUGCUGAAAACAUGACGAAUGUCACAUGUUCCAGCAAAUAACAAACUCUUAGCAAAGUAUAUUUUCAUUUUAGUUUAUUUUGUGGAGGUUUUCAGGCACUGUUUAUGAGGGAUUUAAGACCUAAUGGCUUUGUUAGUGUCCAGUAAUAAUUCAGCCAUGACUGUUUAUACAGUAAUCCAUGAAUAAAUGCUCACUGGGUUCUUGCUAUAAUAAGCCAUUAUGUCCGCAGUAAAUAUAUAAAUGUCGGAAGACAAGGAUUAAUAAAGAAUGGUUACAAUUAUC